rnacentral:rRNA from 1 species
GAUGAACGCUGGCGGCGUGCCUAAUACAUGCAAGUCGAGCGAACAGACGAGAGUGCUUGCUCUCUCUGACGUUAGCGGCGGACGGGUGAGUAACACGUGGGUAACCUACCUAUAAGACUGGGAUAACUUCGGGAAACCGGAGCUAAUACCGGAUAAUAUUUAUCUUCGCAUGAAGCAAUAGUGAAAGACUGUUCUGCUGUCACUUAUAGAUGGACCCGCGGUGUAUUAGCUAGUUGGUGAGGUAACGGCUCACCAAGGCAACGAAACAUAGCCGACCUGAGAGGGUGAUCGGCCAAACUGGGACUGAGCAACGGCCCAGACUCCUACGGGAGGCAGCAGUAGGGAAUCUUCCGCAAUGGACGAAAGUCUGACGGAGCAAUGCCCGGUGAGUGAAGAAGGUUUUCGGUUCGUAAAACUCUGUUGUAAGGGAAGAACAAGUACGUUAGUAACUGAACGUACCUUGACAGUACCUUACCAGAAAGCCACGGCUAACUACGUG